rnacentral:lncRNA from 1 species
AUGGAAGCUGUGUUCAGGCCGGUCCACGCUGGGUGACCCAUGUGACCUGCUGCUUAGCAAUUCCUUGUCACCAUCUUCCCUUCUCAGCCUCUUUUUUCAUGCUAACAGGCAUAAAUGAAAUGAUGAUAAAAGUUUGAGCUCUUCUCGUGGAAUUCUUGUGAUACAGAUAUGUGCUACACGUUCAUCAUCUCGUUGGUCUUCACCAUGAUAACUGUGGAGUAAGAAUUAUAAGCAGGUCACAGAUUAGGGACUUGAGAUUGACAGUUUGGCUUCCCUGUUCUGGGUGGCAAAGCCUGUGGAGUACUCACCUACCUGCUGCAUGAAGGCAGCAUGGAGGGACUGUGGUGGAUUAUCUGCAAAGAUGGCCAAAAUUCUCUCAUCCCUGCAGGCACAUACAAGGUUUCCAGAAGUUCCCCAGUCAUUGAGCAUUUCUGAGGCUCUUGAUGCAUAUGCCAAGUAGUUAUGGAGAAAGACACAGCAGCUUACCUCUGCAGGCAUCAUUGUGUGAAAGGAAGACCCAGGCUCUCUCACCACCCUUCAACAGAAGCCUUUUGCUAAGGUGAUAGCUACAUGUCCAAGCCUAUUGCGUGGCAUGCAUUUUGCCUUCUGCAGCCCACUAAAGGAAAUUGAGGUAUACGGAAUGCUUAUUUGGUUUACUCAGUAUCAUCCUAAAUGUAUGUACCAAUGCUUAGGAGUUUGCAGUUCACCCGCAAACCUCAGCGAUCCAAGCUCCCCUGGAUGACCAUCACUCACCAAGAAAAGAACAAUAACAGGACCUGUUUUGCUAAUCCAGGACUGUUCUCCAGCACUAACUCUAAAUAAUCCCUUCUGCUAGAGUCCACUUUCUGGAACCUGUUGCCUCCGUUUUCAACGUUUCCCAAACUUGGUCCGUUGUGUGAGCUGGCUGAUAAAAGUUCCAGAGGUCACAUAGGUACAUUCACUCACUUUCAACCAAUAUUUCUUAAGACUGUGUUAUGCUGUGCACAGGAGACACAGAAAUAGAUGACCCAUGAUUUGUCUUCUUUUUAUUUAAAAAAAAAAAAAAGAAGAAGAAGCUCUGUAUCUGU